rnacentral:lncRNA from 1 species
UCCGGCCCCGGGAACGUGCAGGGGGGCGGGAGGCAAGUCCCAUCAGCACUUUGAACUGGGGCUGACUCACCUCCCAGACUUCCUGCAACAGACAACUCUAAAUAGCUCGGUCCCACCCUCCAGCAGGGGAGACAUUCCGGUCGGGAAGGGCAGGAGGUUAGAAGGUGGGUGCCCCGCCAGGGCAGUCCAGGGAGACCCAAGGACAGGAGACGCUGGCUGCACAGCACAGGGGCGCAGGAAUAGGACGUUUUGUUUACAGGCUUUUGUUAUUAAGGAAAUUGCUGUCAGUCAAGGUAAUUCUAGCUCAGAUGAGCAAUAAAUAUGCUCCCAGCUAA